GAAAGUUCAGUUUAGUUUGUUGACACUCCAUUAAAAUACAUAUGACUGUUUAUAACACUGAUUAGGCGUAGUACGAACUUGUUUCGAGGUUAAUUAUAUUCAAUGUGAUGUGAAGUUGUUAAUAAAGAUUUGCUGCAUU